rnacentral:snoRNA from 1 species
AUACCAUGAUGAGGACAUCUCCUGAGUAACUCAUUAAAUCUUUCCCAUGCAUCACACAAGCUCUCAUCUUCAAGUUGAUGGAAAGAUGUGAUCUCGUUCCUCAACUU